GGUUUCCAUACUUUCUCUGAUCAAAAUGAUGAUCAUCAUUUAUCGUAUUUUAAUAUAACAUUUUGAUCUUUUAGUAUUCAUUCAGGAAAAGAACUUACAUUUUUCUCCUAUUUUCUUUCUCUUCUUCUUCUUUCCCUCUUUUAUGUUUUUUACCUUCUUUUCUAAAAAAGAAUUACAUAUAUAUAUAUACAAUAUUAAUCUGGGACAAACAUUUUUUUUACCUCCAAUUGUAAACGUUUUGUGUUCUUUUAAUGCUUUCUUAAUCUUCUAUUUCCUGUUCCAUCCCAUAAAAAAAUCAGUAACAACAGUAUAACUACUAUAGGGGGUUCUAUGCCCCCAUGAUAAAUAAUU
rnacentral:lncRNA from 1 species